rnacentral:misc_RNA from 1 species
UGGUCGUUAGCCGCCUGGUGUGGAGCUCGAGGUGUGUGGGCGGCAAGGGUUGCAGCUGGUGCAGGUGGAGCGGGUGCAUUAGCCUUAGCUCCACUAUAUUGUGCAGAAAUAGCACCGAGGACUAGAGGUCUUGCUGCCAUGCCAGCAUUAGCUUGCAGUUGCGGCAUCCUCUUUGCCUACUCAGCUGGUGGGAUGUUAUCUGCGCAUGCACUGUCUCUAUCAAUGGCUGUACCUCCAGCUAUUCUACUGUUAUCAUUGAUUUGGCUUCCAGAAAC